GCGGCGGCUGGUGAACGGCCUCAGCCUCCGCCUCACGGCCGCGCUCGCCCCCGCCCGCCCCGCCGACCUGGAGCUGCAGCGCGCCGGGGGCUCCCGAGGCCGCCACGCCGACCCCGGCAGGAUCUGUUGAAGACAUGACUAUUGAUGUUAGUGCCCCAAAAAGUGGGGGAAAUGCUGCAAAUCGUGGAAAGAGAUUCCCUACUCAAAACAAUAGGAUUCUCUCAUUGUGGAAUAAUCUCUGCAAGCAUUGUGGAUUCUCCAUAAAAUGGACACGUGGAACCAUAUCUUUGCCAAAUGCACCUAUUUCAGUGUUGGACUGGACAUGCUUUGAAAUGGUGAAAAAAGAUCCCACAAAAUCUCUUUAAGAAGUGAGAGCUAAAAAGAAUUGAAACUGAUUCGCCGAAAAAUCACUGUAUCUUGUCAUAUGGUUGGUUUUACUGCUUUGUUUUAAUUUUUAUUAUUUUUAAUAACCUGCAAGGUUUGGAUAAAAAGCUCUUGCACAAUGAAAAGCUCUUGCACUGUUUUUUAACAAGGUCUGGAAGUUAAACUUACUGUGAAUUUUUAUAAUGCCAGUGCAAUACUUUUGUUUGUAAGGGUGCUUUUAAAAUGUCUAUAUUAAACUGUUGAUGCAAAGUUGCAAAUGUAGUAGAAGUUGUUUAUAGUGUAAAUACACAAUUUACAGUGUCUAUUGUAAAAUUUCAUUGUUAUUUUAAAAUAACCUGGGAUCUGAUAUUUUAUAAGUAGACAAAUAACACCAACAAUGUUGGCAUACAAGUACAUUCUUUGUAGUUACAAAUGAUGUAAUAUGACGACUCUUGCAAGAAGGAUUUUUAGUUCAGUGACAUUGGAAAUUAUUUUCCGAAUGCUGAAGCAUUUGAGGGAGGGAACAUGACCAAAGGAAACCUUGUUGAUUAACAAGUACUCCAAGGCUUUAUAAAACAUUAACUGUACCUGGAAAAAUAUUUUUAUUAAUGCUAGUGAUACCUAAAAUUGUGCUCAUGAUAAAAUCAUGUGGAGAAA